GAGUAAUUUCUCACCCCAUACAAAGGGUAUUUGCAACCUAUUUUAUUUGUUCUUUACCACAGCUUUGUGAUUUUUGGCACAUUUUUUCCCCUUUUUUUUCUUUUGCUAAGAAAAAUGAAGUUCAGAGAGAUUAAGUGACCGGUGCAAGAUUGCCCAGCCAGUGAGCGUGGAUUCAACACUGCUUAUGGUAAAUCUGGAGUCUUCUCUGUGACGUCUGCCAAACACCUGGUUAUGCAUCCUUCCUUGUCAUUCCUCAAGUGAAAAAUGAAGACCAGAAGUGUUCCUGAAGUGAGGAAUCAGCAUACAACUUGCACACCAUGCAUGGUGACCCUAGGCUCACACAUCGUAUACAAGAAACACACGAUUUGCCUAGAUGAACUUUGGAAAUGA
rnacentral:lncRNA from 1 species